rnacentral:piRNA from 1 species
UCUGGAUGCACUGUCUGGGCCUAUUCCUGU